GAAACAUCUAGGAGGGGUAAGCCGUCCUUUAUAAACUGGUCUUUGAUAUGUGGUAAAGUUUUAAAGAUAGUCUUACAGGUACCCACUUGAACCACGAUGGGAUGCUACUUGGCCAUGUUGUGUACAGUGCUUUCUGUUGCGGUUGUAAUAGAUGCUGGUUGUCACUGUAACACUACUACUGCCUGCGUCGUGUUCCCCUCCACUCCCUGUAGCCAGACCGGCAAUCCAGACAGGUGCCAGGAAGGGUGGUUUG